GUGCCAGCAGCCGCGGUAAUACAGAGGUCCCAAGCGUUGUUCGGAUUCACUGGGCGUAAAGGGUGCGUAGGCGGUCGGGUAAGUCUGACGUGAAAUCUUCAAGCUUAACUUGGAAACUGCGUCGGAUACUAUUCGGCUAGAGGAAUGGAGGGGAGACUGGAAUACUUGGUGUAGCAGUGAAAUGCGUAGAUAUCAAGUGGAACACCAGUGGCGAAGGCGAGUCUCUGGACAUUUCCUGACGCUGAGGCACGAAAGCCAGGGGAGCAAACGGGAUUAGAUACCCGUGUAGUCC
rnacentral:rRNA from 1 species